CAAACUAAAAUCUAGGGAUUAACUUUUAUUUACAUUAAAGGUUUAUUUGUGCAAUUCAAAUUAGUUUGA
rnacentral:tRNA from 1 species